GGCAUUUCCCUUAGAUUUUCCUGCACACCGAGGACUUGUCAAGCUCUGGAGUCUGACUGCAUUUCUCAGGAUCCACCUGACCUUCUUGCUCUCCCGAGGUGAAUAAGAAUAUAAGAAAUAAGAAAUGAAGAAUAAACCACUUCUGGUUUCUGAAGAGUUCUGCCUGAAAUCUUGGGUCCCAGACUUAUUUAUACUCCGUACAAAGAGCUUGGAGUCAAGGUUGGUGAAGUGGAUUUCCUCAGAACAGCACGUGGUGAGGAAAUGGCAAAUUUAAUCUCUCAAGGUACAAUUCACUGAGGUCACAUCACCGGAGCCAGCUCAUGGUGAAGGGUCUGGUCCAGAGCACUCAUCUUAGACAUAUAAAGGCAAUAGCAUGGCUGC
ensembl:lncRNA